UAACCAAAACAAAAGGCAAGGAGCGACUAGACCAACCACAUUAGCAGGCGCUUAAACAACGCCUAAACCCGCAAAGACAAACCGGCGUCCAAGAACUACUUCGACUUGUUGCUCUGCCAGUGGUAGCUCGAGUUCUUGCCGUGAUGGCAGGUGCCGUGGUAGUGGCCACAACUGUAUUCGUACUUAUGAGUAGACUUCUGGCAUUUCGAGUGUUACUUUCCCUUCUUAGGACAUUGGGAACUAGUGUAGUCACACUCUCCUUUGUUGUAAGCCAUGAUGUAGGAGGGACUAUCGAAUUUGGACCUUUGCAACGACCAACUCCUAUGGGGGUCCCAGUUCAGAUUCUUCGGUUGAUGUCCCUUCGGAUACCCAGCCCCAGCGCCUGCGCCGGCACCCGCACCAGCCCCGGCCCCCGCGACUCGAAAUAACAAGGGACGAAACCUUCGAGCACGUCACGUUCAGGGAUGUCGCAUUGGACGAAGGAGACGCUCGAUACAGCUUCUUACAAAGACAAGACAAUCUUCUACAGUUAGAUUCAUGCACAACUACGCCUUAGUAGAGCGGACAAACUGGAUACAAGAAUAUAUACAAGCAUUACGUAAAAGAGCCCUUAAAGUGAACGUCCGGAGGUCUGAAAACUUUACGAUUCACCGUAGGACACGACAAUGAACAAUGGGACCUUAAGAACGGGAACACGAAAACGCAUCGUCAUUCAACACAAACUCAUCUUCGACUGGGAAAAAGAAGACACCGUUACGAACUCUAAUUUGACCCGACCCCCGUAACCAUAAAGUCUAAUGCGCAACUGUAUAAGUAGACUUAGUACGUGUACACUUGUAAAGAACGGACAUACUACGCUACAAUCCGAACUAGUAAAAGACACUAAACUAAAAGACGGGCCACACCAAAUCGAAGGAUCAUAUUCAAACCUUGUUUACCUUAGUAGUAAAAAUGAACGUUACAGAUGUGUUUUAUGUCAAUCUACUACCCACUACAACCAAGGUGAAGAGAGAAAGCAGUAUCCGAUGCAAACUACGACACCACCAGAAAAAA
rnacentral:rRNA from 1 species